rnacentral:rRNA from 1 species
UACGGGGGGGGCAAGCGUUGUUCGGAAUUACUGGGCGUAAAGGGCUCGUAGGCGGCCAACUAAGUCAGACGUGAAAUCCCUCGGCUUAACUGGGGAACUGCGUCUGAUACUGGAUGGCUGGAGGUUGGGAGAGGGAUGCGGAAUUCCAGGUGUAGCGGUGAAAUGCGUAGAUAUCGGGAGGAACACCUGUGGCGAAGGCGGCCAUCUGGACGUUCACUGACGCUGAGACGCGAAAGCGUGGGUAGCAAACAGG